UGUUGAAGAAGGAUUCAGAUGUCAACGCACACGCACUCAGUGGUACAGGGAGAUCUUGAUGAAGAAGUUUACAUGACCAUACCUCAAGGCUUUAAAAAACAUGGGGAUAAUAUGGUAUGUAAGCUGAA